rfam:Agrilus planipennis Contig24665, whole genome shotgun sequence.
UCACUCGCAGCUUAGUGGCAGAGCAUUGGUGCAUAAAACCAAAGGUCCCGGGUUCGAUUCCCGGCGGGGGUG